AAUGAGCACUACUGGACGCUACACUUGAAAGUUGAAACACUUCACAGACGGCAGACGCGACUCGACUCUUCUAUCGGCCAAAUAUAAUAUAAAAUUUUAGCAAUAAAUUUUAAUAUUAAAGUUAAAGUUUAUAUCGGCUACCUUUCCGCACAUAUAUAGUCGUACCUUAUACUUUUGUGGAAACAUCAAAUAGCAUUCCACUGGUGCUUUAAAGACCCUCAAAUCUGGAAUUCUAUCGACAGGAUUUGUACGUAUCUACCUCAAGUUGAAUGAACAAAUAUCUGACAAAUAUGCCAAUUGCCAAAGUUUUGUGACGUUUAAUCACUGCGUUUAAUAUACGCAUUUC